rnacentral:rRNA from 1 species
GACGAACGCUGGCGGCGUGCUUAACACAUGCAAGUGGAGCGACGAACCAGGGCUUGCCCUGGGGCAAAGCCGCGAACGGGUGAGUAACACGUGGGUAACCUGCCCCGAUGGCCGGGACAACCCGAGGAAACUCGGGCUAAUACCGGAUGAGCUCACGCCACAUCAGUGGCAUGAGGAAAGGAAGCUUCGGCCUCCGCAUUGGGAUGGGCCCGCGGCCCAUUAGCUUGUUGGUGGGGAAAGGCCUACCAAGGCUUCGAUGGGUAGCUGGUCUGAGAGGACGAUCAGCCACACUGGGACUGAGACACGGCCCAGACUCCUACGGGAGGCAGCAGUGGGGAAUCUUGCGCAAUGCGCGAAAGCGUGACGCAGCAACGCCGCGUGCGGGAAGAC